UCAGGCCUAACACAUGCAAGUCGAGGGGUAGAAGGAGCUUGCUCCUUUGAGACCGGCGCACGGGUGCGUAACGCGUAUGCAAUCUACCUUUUACAGAGGGAUAGCCCAGAGAAAUUUGGAUUAAUACCUCAUAGUAUAUAUCAUUCGCAUGUUUGGUAUAUUAAAGUUCCAACGGUAAAAGAUGAGCAUGCGUCCCAUUAGUUAGUUGGUAAGGUAACGGCUUACCAAGACGAUGAUGGGUAGGGGUCCUGAGAGGGAGAUCCCCCACACUGGUACUGAGACACGGACCAGACUCCUACGGGAGGCAGCAGUGAGGAAUAUUGGUCAAUGGACGCAAGUCUGAACCAGCCAUGCCGCGUGCAGGAAGACGGUCCUAUGGAUUGUAAACGGCUUUUGUACGGGAAGAAACACUCCUAC
rnacentral:rRNA from 1 species